rnacentral:rRNA from 1 species
CCUACGGGAGGCAGCAGUGGGGAAUCUUGCGCAAUGGGCGAAAGCCUGACGCAGCAACGCCGCGUGAGAGAUGACGGUCUUCGGAUUGUAAACCUCUUUCAAGCAGGGACGAUAAUGACGCUACCUGCAGAAGAAGCUCCGGCCAACUACGUGCCAGCAGCCGCGGUAAU